CGUAGGGUGCGAGCGUUAAUCGGAAUUACUGGGCGUAAAGCGUGCGCAGGCGGUUAUAUAAGACAGAUGUGAAAUCCCCGGGCUCAACCUGGGAACUGCAUUUGUGACUGUAUAGCUAGAGUACGGCAGAGGGGGAUGGAAUUCCGCGUGUAGCAGUGAAAUGCGUAGAUAUGUGGAGGAACACCGAUGGCGAAGGCAAUCCCCUGGGCCUGUACUGACGCUCAUGCACGAAAGCGUGGGGAGCAAACAGGAUUAGAUACCCUGGUAGUCCACGCCCUAAACGAUGUCAACUGGUUGUUGGGUCUUCACUGACUCAGUAACGAAGCUAACGCGUGAAGUUGACCGCCUGGGGAGUACGGCCGCAAGGUUG
rnacentral:rRNA from 1 species